CCUGGUAGCUCAAUCGGUAAAGAAUCUGCCUGCAGUGCAGAAGACCCAGGUUUGAUCCCUGGGUCAGGA
rnacentral:tRNA from 1 species